CACAUAUGAGGUGAUGCCUCAUUGUGGUUUUGAUUUGCAUUUCCCUGAUGAUGAGUGAUAUGGAGCACCUUUUCAUGUACUUGUUGGCCACAGGGGGGUGACAGCUGCUGUGACCCGGACAGCCUCCCCAGACCCAGCACCUGCUACCUGUGGCCUGGAUCCAGCCCAGCUGAGAACCACGGAGAUAGGCUGAGGCUCCUGGAGGCUCUUUGCCACCAACAGCCCCAGACAUUCAGGAGCAGACAACAUGGAGGCUUAGCGCGGCCAGGACAACUUCCCAGAGAAGAUGGAACUUGAGCAAGUGGGCACGAAUUGGAGAUUUUAAAAGGUUUUUCAACAUGCUCAUGGGUCUCCCCAUGCAUCGCGGGCCUGGUGUACUGUGCUCAGUGCGCCCAAUGGAGAAGCAGCUCUUGCGGCACCUCCAGAUCGCACAGCCUCCCCCCCAAACUCCAAAAGCUCAGCCGCCACCCCCUGAGAUGCCCAGACUGUGCGCUGCGCCGGGAGGGAUCCCACAAGG